rnacentral:rRNA from 1 species
CAUUGGAAUUUUCAAAACGGAGGAAAAGAAACCAACAGGGAUUCCCUUAGUAACGGCGAGUGAACCGGGAAAAGCUCAAAUUUGAAAUCUGCCAACAGGCCGAGUUGUAAUUUGUAGAUGGCUACACUGCAUAAUAGUAGAUGCUCAAGUUCUUUGGAAAAAGACAUCAUGGAGGGUGACAAUCCCGUGAGGCAUGUUACUAGGAGCAUAUAGUGGGCUUUCUAAGAGUCGAGUUGUUUGGGAAUGCAGCUCAAAGUGCGUGGUGAAUACCAUGUAAAGCUAAAUAUGGACGAGAGACCGAUAGCGAACAAGUACUGUGAAGGAAAGAUGAAAAGCACUCCGAAAGGAGAGUGAAAUAGUACGUGAAAUUGUUAAAGUGGAAGGGCUUGAGAUCAGAAUUGGUAGUUUGGGUUCCACGUCCUCUUGGGGGCGUGUACUCCCUUUCCACCGGGCCAGCGGGAGUUUCGUCUCUUGGGUAAAAGCAGUGGAAUGUAGCAGCUUGUCUGUAUUAUAGCCUCUGUUCAUACAAGACGUCGAGACUGUUCGUGGC